rnacentral:sRNA from 1 species
GGCCAAGCCAGCCAUGUGGUGCUGUGCCCCUGGGACGAAUGCCAUCAGCUGGGAUGCAGAACAGACCAUUUCCUGGAAAUAUGAGCAGCAUGACCCCCAGUUCUCCUGGCAUGUCUCAGCAGGGAGGGCCAGGAAUGGGGCCGCCAAUGCCAACUGUGAACCGUAAGGCACAGGAGGCAGCCGCAGCAGUGAUGCAGGCUGCUGCGAACUCAGCACAAAGCAGGUACGCCACCCAGGAGCACGCCCCGGGCAGGCAAGGCAGUUUCCCCGGCAUGAACCAGAGUGGACUUAUGGCUUCCAGCUCUCCCUACAGCCAGCCCAUGAACAACAGCUCUAGCCUGAUGAACACGCAGGCGCCGCCCUACAGCAUGGCACCCGCCAUGGUGAACAGCUCGGCAGGUAACCUUGGCAGCUCUGUGCUCCUGAGCCCCUCUCUCUCCCCUCUCCUCGUCUUAGGCUCCACCAGUGAAUCUGCCUAAAUGGCCCGAGAAGGUGGAUCAGUUGGCGAAAGUGGGAAUCAUAUUACUUUUCUGCUUCUCAGAAACUUGCUCCAUCUAUUUAAGACUUGAGAAUUACAUUAUAUUUUAUGUAAAUUAUUUUUAUUCAGUCUGUGUUUGUAUAACAAGUGGACAUAUUUCAAGUAUUAUUGGAGAUUGUUAAAUAUACACACUAAGUUCUCUUUCUCUUUGGGAAUUAUUAGUAUUGGAAGAUCCUCAAAUUCUCUCCAUUUGGUAGUGGUGGAGACAAACAUUUCAAAUUCACAUUUCAGGGGAAAUCGCUGGAAGGGCAGAGCAAGGGGGGUUUGAAGUACUUUUUACAUUUAGGGAAACACCUCUAAAUAUAUGCUCGGAAGUAGCUGCUUCAUAAAUGCUCUGUGCAGAUUGUCUCUAUUGGGAAACUGUUUUAAAUGUUUUAUGAUGUUUAGUUAUUUUAACCCAUUUUAUAAUCUCCACAGUAGCGUUCUUAAAAGUCAUGCCUGAUGACUGCAGUGGAUGAGUAGCCAGUGUGUGCAAAAUACCGAGAGUGUCUAAAAUUGUGCGUGUCUCCCAUGAUCUUAGACUCUUCAAGACCUUUGAACCCCCUCCUCAGGUUCCGUAACUACCUAAAGACAAUGAGUGCCACUUUUUACAUAAAGUGAUGUGUAUUUCCAGCGACCUGUUACCCUCUGUCACAUGUUAGGAUGGAUCUCACGGGAGCAUUCCCUCCUUCAGAGACUGCAGGGCGUGGCUUAGCCAGUGUGUAUCCUGUGACGCCCCGUGAUGCAUUAGGAAUGCAUGGGACAGCCAGAGCCUUGGUUCUUUCUGAUGACAUUUUUUCAUUUCUUCUGCCUUUCACCUCCUUUCUGGCCUCUCUGUCUUUGAAAGGCCUCCCCAGAAGUUCAUGUUUCUCUGUCAGGCGGAACAGCCAGUAAGAGGCUGGGCUCGCCCCCUGUCUGAGCUUCUGCGUCGUUGAUUUCUAGGACCUAAUUGAAGGGUGACAUUCCAUGAUGACUUCUCUUGAAA